GACGAACGCUGGCGGCGUGCUUAACACAUGCAAGUCGAACGGAAAGGCCCUGCUUUUGUGGGGUGCUCGAGUGGCGAACGGGUGAGUAACACGUGAGUAACCUGCCCUUGACUUUGGGAUAACUUCAGGAAACUGGGGCUAAUACCGGAUAGGAGCUCCUGCUGCAUGGUGGGGGUUGGAAAGUUUCGGCGGUUGGGGAUGGACUCGCGGCUUAUCAGCUUGUUGGUGGGGUAGUGGCUUACCAAGGCUUUGACGGGUAGCCGGCCUGAGAGGGUGACCGGCCACAUUGGGACUGAGAUACGGCCCAGACUCUUACGGGAGGCAGCAGUGGGGCAUAUUGCACAAUGGGCGGAAGCCUGAUGCAGCAACGCCGCGUGCGGGAUGACGGCCUUCGGGUUGUAAACCGCUUUCGCCUGUGACGAAGCGUGAGUGACGGUAAUGGGUAAAGAAGCACCGGCUAACUACGUG
rnacentral:rRNA from 1 species